UACGGGAGGCAGCAGUGGGGAAUAUUGCACAAUGGGCGAAAGCCUGAUGCAGCUAUGCCGCGUGUAUGAAGAAGGCCUUAGGGUUGUAAAGUACUUUCAUCGGGGAGGAAAAACAAAACUAAUAAUUUUAUUUCUUGACGUUACCCGAAGAAGAAGCACCGGCUAACUCCGUGCCAGCAGCCGCGGUAAUACGGAGGGUGCUAGCGUUAAUCAGAAUUACUGGGCGUAAAGAGCACGUAGGUGGUUUUUUUAAGUCAGAUGUGAAAUCCCUGGGCUUAACCUAGGAACUGCAUUUUGAAACUGAAAUACUAGAGUAUCGUAGAGGGAGGUAGAAUUCUAGGUGUAGCGGUGAAAUGCGUAGAUAUCUGGAGGAAUACCUGUGGCGAAAGCGGCCUCCUAAACGAAUACUGACACUGAGGUGCGAAAGCGUGGGGAGCAAACGAGGAUUAGAUACC
rnacentral:rRNA from 1 species